AUUCAAUUAGCUUAUAAAUUAGAGCAUAAUACUGAAGAUAUUAUUGAAAUUAUUAAUUAAUUAUUGAAUA